rnacentral:lncRNA from 1 species
CUUCGAGCACUGAAUUCUGCAAGUGUUCAGGUAAACAGAAAUCCACUUGUGAUGUCUAUUUAUGUAAGAACAAAUCUUGCAUCAUUCUCAAAUGACUGGUAUACAAAGGGUAACCAAACCAAACAUGCACCAGAUAGGACAAUGAAACGACCUGAAAACAGUACAUGUACAUAUGAACUGAAUUACACUUGGCAUGCUAAAGCGAACGCGUGAAAACAAUGGAACGACCUCAAAGCGGGAAUGCGGCAAAUGCAAAAGCAUAUAAGGAUGAAGGGCUAAUUACUGAUGUAAAAUCCUAGAUUUUUUUUGGCAAAAAAGCUCAAUUAUUUCUAGUCUCCUAAUUCGGGAGCUACACAUUUGCAGUUCUUUCAAUUUUUUUGCAAUAAUCUAGCAAAGUACUGCAUACAAGGCCAGAGGACUAAAAUAUCAAAAGCCUGCUGCCCAUUUCAUUUGUUAAGGACGGUGCACAAGCAAUAAAACAAGAAACAACAUCAGUGUUUCUGGCUUGCUGCUGCACUAAUACAGACAAAUUAAAUUUUCCACCCCAGGCUCGAGUACGCCAGCCAGCACCCAACAAUUAUUGCAAUUUUGCAAUUGGUCUGAUAAAUAAUACACAUGAAUGCUUAUGAGACAACAGUUAUAUGAACUUUGCUCGAGGAAUUCGCUAGGAACUCACUCACUUUGUGCUUAACAGCAUCUUCCCUGACGGCCAGCAUUGCUACAAUGAACAAUGAAGCUGUGAAAUAAAUAUUACACACCAAAGUUCCACCUAGAAGUGUCAGGUUUGUGAUCUAUAUUACUGUAGAUCGAUGGAAGCAUAAAAUUGAUCAAGAAAAGGAAAUGAUUAAAAUAUCUGUCUGAACCAUAUCACCAUCGCCACUUACAUGUAUAUGCAUCAUUGCUGAUGAGAACAAAAUACACACUGAUUGAUAAAUGACUGUUGAGUCAUUGGCACUGAAACACAUAGCAUAGCCCACGAAAAUAGAAUACACAAAACAUAACCCUACAUGAAUGACAUGCUUAUCUUAUUCUUAAUAGUUUCAACUGUGUGAUGAUCAAUAUUCGAGAAUAGAACAAGUUCCUUCAUUACCUUGGAUCAAUGUGUUCGCGUAUGCAUGUUACUCCUGAGAAGCUGUGGAUGGCCUCAUUCAGAGUAGUUGAUUUGCUGCCAAACCUGGACAAUAACCACCACCAAUGAUGGACUCAGC